rnacentral:rRNA from 1 species
CGUCACACCAUGGGAGUGGGUUGCACCAGAAGUAGCUAGUCUAACCUUCGGGAGGACGGUUACCACGGUGUGAUUCAUGACUGGGGUGAAGUCGUAACAAGGUAGCCGUAGGGGAACCUGCGGCUGGAUCACCUCCUUAA